AAGAAAAAGAAAAGUCUACGCAGUCUCGAGGCCGCGUGCAUUAAGGGAAGAACCCCUAACAAAAGUUAGAGGCCUCACCAAGAGGCCCUCCACCUAAACUAGACGAAACCAGCCUAGGAGAGAGCAGGAAACAUAACUAAUGGGGAUCCGGGGGAUUGGCCGCCAUGCCCCUGAACGCUUGGACUCUCCUUCUUCCAUCCUCAGCCACCGCCGCGCGCCCAGCAAACCCUCCCCUCCCAGAUACUCCCUGAAAACAAAGUGCAUAUCUAGUGUUAAUGAUGGUGGACAAUCUUUUGAUGGCAUGGUCCCUGAGUUGGGAGGCUAGUGAUUCAGCUUUUUGUUUGGUCAGGCCCAGAUUUAUAAGAGGUGCAAUAGUAUAGGUGUUGUAAAUCGUGCCACC
rnacentral:lncRNA from 1 species